rnacentral:rRNA from 1 species
UACGUAGGUGGCAAGCGUUGUCCGGAUUUACUGGGCGUAAAGCGCGCGCAGGUGGUUUCUUAAGUCUGAUGUGAAAGCCCACGGCUCAACCGUGGAGGGUCAUUGGAAACUGGGGAACUUGAGUGCAGAAGAGGAAAGUGGAAUUCCAAGUGUAGCGGUGAAAUGCGUAGAGAUUUGGAGGAACACCAGUGGCGAAGGCGACUUUCUGGUCUGUAACUGACACUGAGGCGCGAAAGCGUGGGGAGCGAACAGG